ensembl:lncRNA
AAGGCAGGGGCGUGUUGUCUCUCAUGUUCACCUCUGUGCCUUGCCCAGUUGUAAGCUGGGCACAGUGGCUUUUGCCUGUAGUCCCAGCUACUCAGGAGGCUGAAUGAGGAGGAAAGAUGAUUUUUUUUGAGACUUGCUCUUUUUCUUUUUCUUUUUUUUUUUUUUUUUUUUGAGUCUUGCUCUCCUGGGCAACAAGACUGAAGCUACAUCUCAAAGAAAAAGAAAAAAAAAAAGGUAAAAGUAAAAAGGAUGGAAAAAGUCAGAGAAAGCUGGAGUGGCUAGAUUAAUAUUAGACAAAGUUGAUUUCACAGGGAUAGUGCAUUUCACAAUGACAAGGGGGUCAAUUCACCCGGAAGACAUAAAAAUCCUAAAUGUUUAUGCACAUAGAUCUUCAAAACACAUGAAGCAAAAACUGAUAGAAUGGUAAGGAGAAAUAAAGAACCUUCCAAUUAUGGCUGGAGAUUUCAAUACCUCUGUUUCAAUUAAUGGUAGAGCGUGAAAAUAGAAAAAUCAUUAAGGAUAUAGAAGAUUUCAACAUUAUCAACCAGCAUGGCCUAAAAUAGGCCACCCAAGAACAGAACACACAUUUUCAAGUGCGUGCCCAUGGAAAGUUUACCAAGAUAGAUCAUAUUCUGAAUCAUAAACCAAGUUUCAAUAAACUUUACAAGAUUAGAAUCAUGUUAAGUAUCUUCUCUGGCCACAAUGAAAUUAAAUUGGAAAUCAAUAAUAGACUUCUGGGAAAUCCUCAAAUGCUUAUAAACUAAAUAACACACUUCUAAAUAAGCCAUGAGUCAAGAAGAAAUCAAAGGGACAUUACAAAGUCUUCUUUGAACUGAAUGAAAAUGAAAACACAACAUAUCAGAAUGUUGGAGGUAUCGUUAAAACAGCCAUUUGGGGAGAAUGUAUAGCAUUAAGUGUCCAUACGAGAAAAAAAUGGAGGUCUCAAAUCAAUGGCCUCAGCUUACACCUUAAGAAACUAGAAAAAAGAGACCAAAUUAAACCAAACUAAGCAAAAGAAAGGAAAUAAUGAAGAUCAAAGCAGAAAUCAGUGGAACAGAAAACAGAAAAAUAAUAGAGAAAAUGAAUGAAACCAAAAGCUGGUUAUUUGAGAAGAUCAAUAAAAUUGAUAAACUUACUACCAGAUUAUUUUUUAAAAAAAGACUCAUUUGAAGACUCAAAUUAUCAAUCAGGAAUGAGAGAGGUGACUUCCUUAGACAUUCUGCAAAUAUUAACAGGAACAUAAGGAACAUUAUUGUGGUGUUAUGAUGUAUAUUGGUUUUCCUCCACAGUUUCUGGCACAUAACUCCCAUAGCCCUUGUUACAGUCUUUUGUUGGGUGUAUUAGGCCUCAGGGACAGGCCUCUGACCUGCCCUCUUCACCUGCUCCAAGGCAGGACUCUCUCCUUGUGGGUCUUAAGACCCUCCUAUAUGAACUUGCACCCUGUACUCUGGGGGAAGGAAUGCUUCCAUUACAAACCGAGAGGACAGGGUUCAGGGAGCUUCCAGAUCGCUGAACAUGUGGAGGUUCCUGCACAGUGGCACCCAGGGAGGGCAUGGAAGCUCCACAUCCCUUUCCCCAUACCUCAACCUACGUGUUUCUUCAUCUGUAUCCUGUGCCUUAUGCUUUAUAUAAUAAACUGGUAAACUAAGUAUGUUUCCCUGAGUUUUGUGGGCCACUCCAGCAAAUUAGUCAAACCCAAAGAGGGGGUCACUGGAACCCUGACUUGAAGCCAGUCAGAAGUUCCAGAGGCCUGGAUUUAUGACUGGUGUCUGAGAGUGUGGGAACCCCCAACCUGUGGGAUCUGACACUAUCUCCAGGUAGAUGGUGUCAGAACUAGAUUAGAGGACACCUGGCUGGUGUCUGCUGCUUGGUGUGUGGAGGAAAGCCCCCACAUUAUUUGGUCACCGAAGGCUUCUGUGUUGAUGACUGUCAUGGUGUGAGAGCAAAAGAAAGCACGGAUAGAGUUUCCCCUACACAAUUGUGAACAACUUUAUGCCAAUAAGUUUGACAACCCAGACAAAAUGGACAAAUUCCUUGAAAGACACAAACUACCAAAGUUCUCUCAAGAAGUAGAUUACCUGAAUAGUUCUACAUCUGCUAAAGAAGUUGAAUGUGUAGUUAAAAACCUUCCCAAUAAGACAGAUCUAGGCCCACGUGGCUUCACUCAUGAAUUCUACCAAACAUUUAUAGAAGAAAUAAUACCAAUUUCACAUACAUUAUUCCAUAAAAUUGAAGAGAAGGGUACAUUUUCCAACUCAUUUUAUGAGACCAGCAUUACUCUCAUAUUAAAGUCAGAUAAAGACAUUAUAACAAAACUACAGACCAAUACUCAUAAUGACCAACAAAUUUAAACAAAAUUUUAGCAAAGUGAAUUCAAUCAUAAAUAAGGAGGGGAUUUAUCCUAGUGUUACCAGGCUGGUUCAACAUUCAAAAAUGAAUCAAUCUUCC